rnacentral:rRNA from 1 species
GCGAACGCUGGCGGCAGGCCCAAUACAUGCAAGUCGAGCGGUCCCUUCGGGGGCAGCGGCGGACGGGUGAGUAACGCGUGGGAACGUGCCCUUUGGUACGGAACAACUGAGGGAAACUUCAGCUAAUACCGUAUGUGCCCUUCGGGGGAAAGAUUUAUCGCCAUUGGAGCGGCCCGCGUUAGAUUAGCUAGUUGGUAGGGUAAUGGCCUACCAAGGCGACGAUCUAUAGCUGGUCUGAGAGGAUGAUCAGCCACACUGGGACUGAGACACGGCCCAGACUCCUACGGGAGGCAGCAGUAGGGAAUCUUGCGCAAUGGGCGAAAGCCUGACGCAGCCAUGCCGCGUGAAUGAUGAAGGUCUUAGGAUUGUAAAAUUCUUUCACCGGGGACGAUAAUGACGGUACCCGGAGAAGAAGCCCCGGCUAACUUCGUGCCAGCAGCCGCGGUAACAC